rnacentral:rRNA from 1 species
AGUGAACGCUGGCGGUAGGCCUAACACAUGCAAGUCGAACGGAAGCACAGUAAGAGCUUGCUCUUACGGGUGGCGAGUGGCGGACGGGUGAGGAAUACAUCGGCAUCUACUUUUUCGUGGGGGAUAACGUAGGGACACUUAUGCUAAUACCGCAUAUGACCUACGGGUGAAAGCAGGGGAUCUUCGGACCUUGCGCGAUUGAAUGAGCCGAUGUCGGAUUAGCUAGUUGGCGGGGUAAAGGCCCACCAAGGCGACGAUCCGUAGCUGGUCUGAGAGGAUGAUCAGCCACACUGGAACUGAGACACGGUCCAGACUCCUACGGGAGGCAGCAGUAGGGAAUAUUGGGCAAUGGGCGCAAGCCUGAUCCAGCCAUACCGCGUGAGUGAAGAAGGCCUUCGGGUUGUAAAGCCCUUUUGUUGGGAAAGAAAAGCAGCAGGUUAAUACCCCGCUGUUCUGACGGUACCCAAAGAAAAAGCACCGGCUAACUUCGUG